rnacentral:rRNA from 1 species
GAUGAACGCUGGCGGCGUGCCUAAUACAUGCAAGUCGAGCGAACGGACGAGAAGCUUGCUCCUCUGACGUUAGCGGCGGACGGGUGAGUAACACGUGGAUAACCUACCUAUAAGACUGGGAUAACUUCGGGAAACCGGAGCUAAUACCGGAUAAUAUUUUGAACCGCAUGGUUCAAUAGUGAAAGACGGUCUUGCUGUCACUUAUAGAUGGAUCCGCGCUGCAUUAUCUAGUUGGUAAGGUAACGGCUUACCAAGGCAACGAUGCAUAGCCGACCUGAGAGGGUGAUCGGCCACACUGGAACUGAGACACGGUCCAGACUCCUACGGGAGGCAGCAGUAGGGAAUCUUCCGCAAUGGGCGAAAGCCUGACGGAGCAACGCCGCGUGAGUGAUGAAGGUCUUCGGAUCGUAAAACUCUGUUAUUAGGGAAGAACAUAUGUGUAAGUAACUGUGCACAUCUUGACGGUACCUAAUCAGAAAGCCACGGCUAACUACGUG